rnacentral:misc_RNA from 1 species
CCGAUGGCGGCACUGCUCGCCAUCCGGCCAAGUCCCCGACCACCUCCCCUCCUCGGAGGGGGGCCGGGGCAACAGAACCCACGGCGCCGACGGCGUCAAGGAACACUAUGCCUAACCCGAGGGUGUGGCUGGCUUGCUAGCCGCCCCUCGUGUUGCACUAUCUAAUCCAUACGACUCUCGGCAACGGAUAUCUCGGCUCUCGCAUCGAUGAAGAACGUAGCGAAAUGCGAUACYUGGUGUGAAUUGCAGAAUCCCGCGAACCAUCGAGUCUUUGAACGCAAGUUGCGCCCGAGGCCACCCGGCUGAGGGCACGCCUGCCUGGGCGUCACGCCAAUACACGCUCCCACCACCCUCAUUGGGUUGAGGGAUGCGGAUUCUGGCCCUUCGUGCCGUGAGGCACGGCGGGCUGAAGAUUGGGCUGCCGGCGUAUCGUGCCGGACACAGCGCGUGGUGGACUUCUACUCAGCGCAGUGCAUUUCGGCAUGUAGCCGGCGCAACGGCCCCAAGGACCCAACGAACGGAGCGCAUGUCGCU